rnacentral:lncRNA from 1 species
UUAAUACAAAGCCAACUCAAGUUGGUUCUUUCGAUAAUGAGAAGCUACGUGAUGUUUAUCGGAGUUAAUCUUCAGCUUUACAUUGCCUCUCUGUUGGCAAUGAUGAAUUUCUGGAGGGGUCUCGUGGGCUUCAUGUGCUCUGAUCUGAAUGUCUUGUUGGAGCAACAUCGCUUUCUUCACCUAUAAACUUCCCAGUGCCUUUCAUGCCUAUUCGUUGGCGAUCCGGUGAAGGACAUGAGUUGGACAAGAGAUGUUCAGAUGCAUCGAUUUCUCUAGGUGAUUAUCACCAUUGGAGGAGAAAGGAGGAAAUGAUGCACACUACAAAAUCUUGGGGAAUUACACUUCAAUAUAUACCGGUUGCCAAUAGGUAUGUAAGGUCUAUAUAUCAUAUGAGUUAUUUUUGGUGCCUGUCUUUUCGCUUAUUCACUUGUUUCACGAAUAAUCGAAACAACAUAUUUACAAAUAAAAAAUAAUUUAUAAAUAAAACUUUUAUAUAUAUGUUCUCAGCGGUAUAAAAGUCAAAGCUGAAAAUAAACUAUAAUAAAAAAAGCCACAAAAUCAACUUUAAAUUUAAGGUUAAAAAUUUAAAUUUUGCUUAUAAGUAUAAAUAUAAGCGAAAAGAUAAGGGUGUCCCAUUGUUGGAUAUACUGAAUUGCUUCAUUCAACUAGACCAGAAAAUAAGGAAGAUGGAAUCAAGCACCAUUAGUUCAGUCCAGCAGCUUAAUUAAUUAGUGGGAGAGCAUGUGUAUGAUCAAUUAAUGAUAGUAGUUAAUACUCU